GGGAGCUUGCUCCCGGAUGUUAGCGGCGGACGGGUGAGUAACACGUGGGUAACCUGCCUGUAAGACUGGGAUAACUCCGGGAAACCGGAGCUAAUACCGGAUAGUUCCUUGAACCGCAUGGUUCAAGGAUGAAAGACGGUUUCGGCUGUCACUUACAGAUGGACCCGCGGCGCAUUAGCUAGUUGGUGAGGUAACGGCUCACCAAGGCGACGAUGCGUAGCCGACCUGAGAGGGUGAUCGGCCACACUGGGACUGAGACACGGCCCACACUCCUACGGGAGGCAGCAGUAGGGAAUCUUCCGCAAUGGACGAAAGUCUGACGGAGCAACGCCGCGUGAGUGAUGAAGGUUUUCGGAUCGUAAAGCUCUGUUGUUAGGGAAGAACAAGUGCAAGAGUAACUGCUUGCACCUUGACGGUACCUAACCAGAAAGCCACGGCUAACUACGUGCCAGCAGCCGCGGUAAUACGUAGGUGGCAAGCGUUGUCCGGAAUUAUUGGGCGUAAAGGGCUCGCAGGCGGUUUCUUAAGUCUGAUGUGAAAGCCCCCGGCUCAACCGGGGAGGGUCAUUGGAAACUGGGAAACUUGAGUGCAAAAGAGGAGAGUGGAAUUCCACGUGUAGCGGUGAAAUGCGUAUAGAUGUGGAGGAACACCAGUGGCGAAGGCGACUCUCUGGUCUGUAACUGACGCUGAGGAGCGAAAGCGUGGGGAGCGAACAGGAUUACAUACCCUGGUAGUCCACGCCGUAAACGAUGAGUGCUAAGUGUUAGGGGGUUUCCGCCCCUUAGUGCUGCAGCUAACGCAUUAAGCACUCCGCCUGGGGAGUACGGUCGCAAGACUGAAACUCAAGGAAUUGACG
rnacentral:rRNA from 1 species